rnacentral:rRNA from 1 species
AUUGAACGCUGGCGGCAGGCCUAACACAUGCAAGUCGAGCGGCAGCGGAAGGAAGCUUGCUUUCUUGCCGGCGAGCGGCGGACGGGUGAGUAAGGUAUGGGGAUCUGGCCAAAGGCGGGGGAUAACCACUGGAAACGGUGGCUAAUACCGCAUAAUCUCUAAGGAGCAAAGUGGGGGACCGUUCAGGCCUCACACCUUCGGAUGAACCCAUAUGAGAUUAGCUAGUAGGUGGGGUAAUGGCUCACCUAGGCGACGAUCUCUAGCUGGACUGAGAGGAUGAUCAGCCACACUGGGACGGAGACACGGCCCAGACUCCUACGGGAGGCAGCAGUGGGGAAUAUUGGACAAUGGGCGCAAGCCUGAUGCAGCCAUGCCGCGUGUAUGAAGAAGGCCUUCGGGUUGUAAAGUACUUUCAGUCGUGAGGAAGGUGUUAAGGUUAAUAACCUUAGCAAUUGACGUUAGCGACAGAAGAAGCACCGGCUAACUCCGUGCCAGCCGCCGCGGUAA